UACGUAGGGUGCGAGCGUUAAUCGGAAUUACUGGGCGUAAAGUGUGCGCAGGCGGCUCCGCAAGUCGAGUGUGAAAGCCCCGGGCUCAACCCGGGAAGUGCACUCGAUACUGCCAAGCUAGAGUAUCGGAGAGGUUGGUGGAAUUCUCGGUGUAGAGGUGAAAUUCGUAGAUAUCGAGAGGAACACCGGUGGCGAAGGCGGCCAACUGGACGAAUACUGACGCUGAGACUCGAAAGCGUGGGGAGCAAACAGG
rnacentral:rRNA from 1 species